GGCCCUGUAGCUCAGUGGUUAGAGCAUUGGUUUAGUAAACCAGGUUGUGGGUUCGUAUCCCACUGGGGCCU